ensembl:snRNA U6 U6 spliceosomal RNA
GUGCUAACUUCAGUAGCACAUAUACUAAAGUUGGAACAAGACAGGAUCAGCAUGGCCCCCAUGCAAGGAUGAUAUGCAUCUACAUACCAUUCUUGCAUGAAUUU